UACGUAGGGGGGCAAGCGUUGUCCGGAAUCAUUGGGCGUAAAGCGCGUGUAGGCGGCUUCGUCAGUCCGUUGUGAAAGUCCAGGGCUCAACCCUGGAAUGCCGAUGGAUACUGCGGAGCUAGAGUCCGGAAGAGGCGAGUGGAAUUCCUGGUGUAGCGGUGAAAUGCGCAGAUAUCAGGAGGAACACCAAUGGCGAAGGCAGCUCGCUGGGACGGUACUGACGCUGAGACGCGAAAGCGUGGGGAGCAAACAGG
rnacentral:rRNA from 1 species